AUGCUAGUUUUCUUAGUCGUAGACCAAAUUAGAAAACCAGGAUCCAAUUAGAGAAAAGUGAUAACUUUCAAAUUUAGAGAAACCCUAGAAUUAAUAAAAAUGGGCAAUUCUGAUCCAAAUCACGUUUUUUCCAAAAACAAACGAAAGUUUAGAAAACAAAAUUAAAAAAGGAUAGGUGCAGAGACUCGAUGGAAGCUGUUCUAAUGAAUGGAGUUGAUUAUCUUACAUUGGUAGACGAAUCCUUCUAUCAAAACUUCAGAAAAGAGGAACGAUAAACCUGUAUACCAAGAAGAAUUGGUGUGAAUUGAUUUCAUAAUGAAGAAAGAACCAAAUCUGAUAGAUCUUUUGAAUAACUGAUGAAAUCGGAUGAGAAUAAAGCUUGUGUCCCAUUCUAUAUGCCAAUACCGG
rnacentral:ncRNA from 1 species